UACGAAGGGGGCUAGCGUUGCUCGGAAUCACUGGGCGUAAAGGGUGCGUAGGCGGGUCUUUAAGUCAGGGGUGAAAGCCUGUGGCUCAACCACAGAAUUGCCUUUGAUACUGUUUGGCUAGAGACCGGAAGAGGUAAGUGGAACUGCGAGUGUAGAGGUGAAAUUCGUAGAUAUUCGCAAGAACACCAGUGGCGAAGGCGGCUUACUGGUCCGGUUCUGACGCUGAGGCGCGAAAGCGUGGGGAGCAAACAGG
rnacentral:rRNA from 1 species